AACAAACGCUGGCGGCGUGCCUAAUACAUGCAAGUCGAACGGGGUAGCAAUACCUAGUGGCGCACGGGUGAGUAACGCGUGGAUAAUCUGCCUUAGAGUGGGGGAUAACUAGUCGAAAGAUUAGCUAAUACCGCAUAAGACCACAAGAACUGCGGUUCAAGGGGUCAAAGGUUUUUCGCUCUAAGAUGAGUCCGCGUAAGAUUAGCUAGUUGGUGAGGUAAUGGCUCACCAAGGCGACGAUCUUUAACUGGUCUGAGAGGAUGAUCAGUCACACUGGAACUGAGACACGGUCCAGACUCCUACGGGAGGCAGCAGUAGGGAAUAUUGCACAAUGGAGGAAACGCUGAUGCAGCGACGCCGCGUGAGUGAUGAAGGCCUUCGGGUCGUAAAGCUCUGUCGCAGGGGAAUAACACAAUGAAUGUACCCUGUAAGAAAGGAUCGGCUAACUUCGUGCCAGCAGCCGCAGUAAAAC
rnacentral:rRNA from 1 species